UACGAAGGGGGCUAGCGUUGCUCGGAAUCACUGGGCGUAAAGCGCACGUAGGCGGCUUUCUAAGUCAGGGGUGAAAUCCUGGAGCUCAACUCCAGAACUGCCUUUGAUACUGGAGAGCUUGAGUCCGGAAGAGGUGAGUGGAACUCCGAGUGUAGAGGUGAAAUUCGUAGAUAUUCGGAAGAACGCCAGUGGCGAAGGCGGCUCACUGGUCCGGUACUGACGCUGAUGUGCGAAAGCGUGGGGAGCAAACAGG
rnacentral:rRNA from 1 species